CCUACCCACACAUUCACACAUUUAUUAAGUUAGGAAGCUACAAACCAAAGCAGUUUCUUUCCCGAGAAGAGUUUCAAGGUGCUAAGUUAAGGUGGAAUCACUUAGCCCAAGAACUGUUAAAUAAGGACACAGCUGUAAUCCUCAGCACAGUUUCCAAGACUCAGGUAGUAUCUGAACCCAAAGCCGAGAGGUUCUUAAGUUCCAGAGCAGGGAUGAAACAGGCUUUGAAGCCUCCUUGGGGAUUCAUUCCUGAGAAGCCACCCAGUGAUGGUCGCUCCCUUUAGAAGCGACAAUGUUCGGUGUACGACCGGCCGGGUCCAUCGGCCAGAGACCUGAGCUCCGUGACGCUCAUCGUGCACGUCCUGCAGGGAGGCCCCUGCCCGCGUCCGCAGGGACAGAGAGGGGACCAGGCAGCCUCACGGCUAGACCCCGCCCCAGCUCCUACCAGCGCCUAUCCCGGCCGGCGCGCUGGUCACGCGGGGGAGCGCCGCGGGCUGGCGGCCAGUGCCGGCGGGGCCCGAGUGGCGGCGGCCGGGCGGGGCCGGUGGAGAUUAGAAAUAGGGAGAGCUGGCCAAGCCGCCAGCCCCGAGCACGCCGCGCAGCGAGCGGCCGC
rnacentral:lncRNA from 1 species